AUUGAACGCUGGCGGCAUGCCUUACACAUGUAAGUCGAACGGUAACAGUUUAAGCUGCCGAGUGGCGACCGGGUGAGUAAUGUAUCGGAACGUGCCCAGUCGCGGGGGAUAACUGCUCGAAAGAACAGCUAAUACCGCGUACGACCUGAGGGUGAAAGCGGUGGAUCGCAAGACCUCGCGCGAUUGGAGCGGCCGAUAUCAGAUUAGCUAGUUGGUGAGGUAAAGGCUCACCAAGCCGACGAUCUGUAGCUGGUCUGAGAGGACGACCAGCCACACUGGGACUGAGACACGGCCCAGACUCCUACGGGAGGCAGCAGUGGGGAAUUUUGGACAAUGGGCGCAAGCCUGGUCCAGCCAUGCCGCGUGCGGGAAGAAGGCCUUCGGGUUGUAAACCGCUUUUGUCAGGGAAGAAAAGGUUCUGGCUAAUACCUGGGACUCAUGACGGUACCUGAAGAAUAAGCACCGGCUAACUACGUG
rnacentral:rRNA from 1 species